UCUACUGUUGGGUAUAUGCCUUUUCCCUGAUAUAGGUAAAAGAUAUGAUCUGGACUUUCAAUCUCCUCAAAAGUCUGGACAAAAUUUUUAGUCAGCAGAGGAUAUGAUAGACUUGUGCAAGGAACUAUGCUUUGGUUUGGAACAUUGCAUCACAUCCCCUGUUGGAACUGAGAGGAACCCACUUAUAGUUGGUGAUGAGAUUUUUCUUUCUAGAUCAAUGACAGGAAAGAGGGAUUCCCUAGGCAGGACACAAUAUUGGACAAGCUGUCUGAGAGGGCGAAGCAACUGACGACUAACCUAGUAAAGAUACAAAAUGAUGGCACUGUUGAAGUUGAUAUAGAAAUGAGUGCAUCUGUUGCUCCAGAAUUGUUAGAGCUCCAAUCUUUUGUCGAGUCAACAGUGAGUGGAAGUCUUAGUUCAAAAUCAAAAAAAUCUGUUCCAUGGUUACAAAUUGUCAUACUUGUGGUUGGAACUAGAGGCGACGUACAACCUUUUCUGGCCAUUGCAAAGAAACUUCAGGCAUGUUUGGAUAUUUUCAUUCAAUUCAUUUUGAUGCACAUCAGCACAUGAGAAUUGCAUUAAAUCAUUGUUAUCUUUGUAUUGCUUUCUUGCAUAUCUUAUGGUGUAGAACUCCCUAAUAUCUUUAUAUUUGUGAUUUACUUUAAUACAAGGCCUAAAUGAGAAUUUGGCAUUAUUUUUCUUGGAAAUCACAUCAUAUAUAGAUUUCCUUUCAUUUGCUUUGUUCAGAAGAAAAAAAAUAUUGUUUAU